rnacentral:lncRNA from 1 species
AGCUCUACAAGAACUUCUAGUGCUCUGGGCAGCUGCGAGGGGUCAAGAAACCACAUCCCCAAAUCCAGCGGAGUCUCGAUCUGUUGCCCAGGCUGGAGUACAGUGGUCCAAUCUCAGCUCACUGCAACCUCUGCCCCUCGGGUUCAAGCAAUUCUCCUGCCUCAGCUUCCCGAGUAGCUGGGAUUACAGGAAAACAAUUGUUUCAUGUAAGACGCUGAGCGCAAGCAAGUUGGGCAUUCUGUUCAGGCAUUUGUUCAUCAUUCAUUCACUUACUCAUUCAACAAAUGUCUACGGAACUACUUUGUGCAGUUUGGGAUUAGAGAUGUGAAUAAUGCAGGCGACGAAACAAGUUUGCUGAGAGUCAUGGUGUGCCCAGCACCACAUUUUGGUUCAUCAUGGUUCAGAAAAGUUUGUCUUCUCUUGGCACACCCAGCUUUGACGGUGCACAUGAAUAGGAUACAGAGGUGCAGGCAGAGGCCAGGCCAGCCCGAGUCAAAGCUUAGGAACAGAGGAUGAAGACUGUUGCAACAAAUAAGGAAGUACAAGCAUGAAAGCAAAAUCGGAGGAACAUUUCCUGGACAGCAUUCCCAUCUCCAGUAAGAGUCCUUCUCACUUCAUAAAAGCGAUACGUAGAAGCAAGACUCUGCCUUUGCGGUGACGUCACUGAAUAUGCAGCCGGGGCCCAGAGUUGAACAAAUGCCACUCUGGCAAGCGGGGCAGGGUCUGGCUUAGCAACUUGACUUUGACCUACCACCUCUGGAUAAUUUUGCUUCUACAUAACUAUGGAGAUGAUGUACUCAUUCUAUUUAUAAAAAUAAUGCCCUUGGAGUAAACCCCAACCAUCCACUCCUACCUCCACCCUGGCCCAGGCCUGUUCUGCCCCAGUGCACCUAAUCUUCCUUCAUUCUUUAUCCCCCUUGUUCACACUGUGCCUGCAUCCUGCUCCUUGAACAAGCCUGGCCUCAUGCCGUUGCACGCUUGCUGCUUCCUCUAUCUGGAAUGCCUUUCUCAUUGCUCCUUGCCAAGCCACUCCUUUUUUUUUUUAGACACAGUUUCACUCUGUCGCCCAGGCUGGAAUGCAGUGGGUGCAGUGAGCCAAGAUCGCACCACUGCACUC